AAAAGAUAACUUUGAUCUCACUCUCACUGCUUUCAACUUGUUAUUGAAACUGUAUCCAUUUCCUUCCAGAACGUUAAGAAGCCCAUGUACCCACAGGUAAGUGGGUCUGGAUUAAAGUGAAGAGCAGAGUUGACAAAGUAUCAUAGGAUUCCUUUCAAAUUGUUGUCUCCUCCGAAGCGUGCCACACCUGGCCCAGACAGAGCGGGGAGUGGUGCCUUUGUUGCCAUGUGCAAGCACUGACCACCUUUUGCAGUGGUCAGCUUCUUCAAGCUGCGCCCCUGAAAAAGUCUGCUUGUCCUGCUUCUUCUUAUCUUUACAAUCAUAAGCACAUGGUGCUGGGCGCAUGGGGGAUCGUUCCACCAACAUGCACACUGAGAGAAGCAGAGACUACGUGUAAAAAGAAUGCAACACUGGCCAAAGAUGAUUUGUUUCUUGUAGAAGCUGUGGUAAUGGAAGAAGAAAAAAAGAUAUGAGGAACAGAAAUAAUUGCAGUUCUGAUCUUGAAUAGAACCAAAAAUCAUUGUGCAAAUGUUCAUGAAGUUCCCACAUUCAGCCUCACCAGCUUCUGAAGACUGGGGAAGAUUGUAGGCUUUCUUUAUUGGAUGGAACUUCCUCAUCACAUAUUCAGAAGUUUGUCUGUGUUAAUAUGCAUGGUAUUUUUUUUAACUUCCAACAGCCCAAAUCUCUUUUGUUGACAACCUAUUUAGUGCUUUUUUUUUUUUUUUUUAACUUGCAUUUGUUCAAGUGCUUUGGAUAGGAUUAUUGAAUAAGCCUUAGAAUAAGUCAUAAUGUGUUUAGUGAUGGAAAACCAGGUACAGUGUCAUUUCCUUUGUUCAUAAUGAUGCCUGCAUUUUCAUUACAGAAAUACUCAUUGUCUUUAUCUCUUUCAGCUGUGUUAACUAUUAAAACAGUUUCUUUGAUC
rnacentral:lncRNA from 7 species